GACGAACGCUGGCGGCGUGCUUAACACAUGCAAGUCGAACGGAAAGGCCCCCACUUUUUUGGUGGGGGUGCUCGAGUGGCGAACGGGUGAGUAACACGUGGGUGAUCUGCCCUGUACUUCGGGAUAAGCUUGGGAAACUGGGUCUAAUACCGGGUAGGACCAUGGUUUAGUGUCUCAUGGUGGAAAAAUUAUUGUUUUGGUGCAGGAUGAGCUCGCGGCCUAUCAGCUUGUUGGUGGGGUAAUGGCCUACCAAGGCGUCGACGGGUAGCCGGCCUGAGAGGGUGGACGGCCACAUUGGGACUGAGAUACGGCCCAGACUCCUACGGGAGGCAGCAGUGGGGAAUAUUGCACAAUGGGCGCAAGCCUGAUGCAGCGACGCCGCGUGGGGGAUGACGGCCUUCGGGUGGUAAACUCCUUUCGUUAGGGACGAAGCCGCACCUUUUUUGGGUGUGGUGACGGUACCUUUGUGAAGAAGCACCGGCUAACUACGUG
rnacentral:rRNA from 1 species